rnacentral:lncRNA from 1 species
ACAGGCGCACGGUGUCUAAAUCUAGGUGUCCACCAAUACUUCCACCUCCCGCCUCCUUCAGUGUCGUGAGUUCCUCCAUUACCAGAUGAAAUUGAUUUUCUUUUUUCUCAAAAUUUUAUUUUUUAGAUUCUAUCAAAAUCGAUUUCUUUCUUCACAAAAAUUGAUUUGUUGAAAUCGAUUUUAUUGCUUCUUUUCUCAUCUGUGAAAUCCAUUGAUUAUUUGAAAUCGACGUUGAAGGAUUCAGAAUCGGAAGUCACAGGUUAAUCAAAUCGUUAAGAGUUUCAGUCUCAAUAUUGAAAUCGAUUUGGAAGUUCUGGAAUCGGAAUUUGAAAACGGUAAUCAUUCAGAAGCAAAAACGAAACUGAAAUUGGAAUCGGAGCUUGCAAGCAUUCGGUGAUGUAGGCUCGUAUGUUACAACCGAUUCACAUUCAGAGUUUUGGAAUCAGAACUUAAAAUCCUUCGAAUCAAAAUCGGAGAUAUGCGUUUGGUGUUCAAGGCUCGGGUUUUUCGUCUCACAAUCAAUUUUUGAAUCUCAAAAUUGAAAUCGCUUUGAAAUUCAUAAACGAUUCGAAAGCAGAACAAUCUCAUCGAAUCGUUCAGAAUUUGGAUGUCAUCGGAACGCUGGGCAGUGUUGAUUCGAUGGCAAACUUGAUUUUGACUUUUACAAGUCAACUACGUGUUUUAUCAGAUUAAAUGAAGAAGAUGACUUCAUUUACAAUUUCAGCCCUCGGAAGUUACAAAGAUUGACAGAAUUAUCCCUGUUUCUAAAUCCUUUACUAAUCCAUGGUUUUAACCAUUCAGGGCAUCUCAUGUUUACAAUCAACGCCAACAACCAGAUUUUGAUCAGAACCGACAGUUCCGAACGCAAGGAUAUCUACCACAAUGUUAUGGACAAUUUUGGCGACUUAUCUACUCUAAUAAAUGAAGGUUUUUUGUCACAUGUCCUCUUCUUCUUCAUUUGGACACAUGGCAUUUUCUAAAAUUUUAAAUUUUCUAUUUUCCACUUGUCAUUUUAUUGUAUUUUUCAUUUUAUGAAAUUAAAAUUCCACAUUUAAUAUCUAAGGUAAUAUAUAUGUAAGGUAUUUAUUAGAAAAUGGUUUAUAUAUGUAAUGUAUCCAAUACAUUAAAGUCUUAUUAAUUUUAAUAAUUCAAAAAAUUUCUCAUUUUUCUUCUAAAUUCAAGCUUUUCAAAUUGUUAAAAUUUUAUAUUUGAUUUUUUUUUUAAAUAAACUCAUGUAAUAUAUGGGUCUCACACCUAGUGGUUCUAAUAUAGGACUAUGGUAAAUGAGAGGAAGCAAAACCAGGACCUCCAGCUGGAUGCGGUAAUGAAUGUUUUUGUAAAAUUCUUCUACUUUCUUUUAGUUGGCAUUGACAUAUUGGGAACGUUUGUGCUUGAAAUUGGAAUGAUUUAGUGCUAACAUUCUACUGUUACUUUUUUUGGAAUGAUUUUAGUGCUAACUUGCUAGUGUUAAUUUUACAUUCCAAUAUUCUAUCUUUGACUUCAAUUUCACCAUUCUACUCAUAAACUUUUUUUGCUAUUAAUUUUAUUUUUCUUUUUCAUUGUCGACUAUUUAUUUUUUAGUUGUAAUCUAAGUUUUGUAUUAUCUAUGAAAAAUGAAUAGUAUGAAUAUUUGUUUUUGAAUCUCGAAAUUGUAGCUAGUUGGUUUGUUUAUCAACCAUAGUAAAUUUAGUUUAUUCAACAUGAUAUAGGUUUUAAUUGCUACCUUACCUCUUUGUUUAUAUAAUUUAAUUUUAUUCUUUGAAUUGCCUUGUACUUUGUUGUGGCAAUUUAUGAACUAACAACAUCACAUGGUUGAAGUUAUUUGCUAAUAUAUGUAUUUCUUGAGAUUUUACAUAAUUUUUUUGUCCUCUAAAUGUUCGAUGAAAUGUUUAUAAAAUCUCAUCUCUUUCAUUGUAGUUUUAGGAUUACAUUCUAUUCUGUCAGAAUAUAUUCUGCCAGAAUAAAAUCUAUGUAUUCUGUCAUAUUCUAUGUAUUCUACCAGAAUAUAUAAAGUGAUAAUUAAUUGCAAGUAACAUGUUUUUAACCAUUAUUAGUUGUUGUUGUAUUUGUGAUAGGAAUGGCUGGAAGAAUGCAUUGAAGACCUAAUAGGAAUAACUUGAAGAAUGAAUAACAUUUGAUCAUACUCACAAUUUUAGAAUGUUGUUAUUUUUUUAGAAUUUUAUUCAGUUUUGUUGAUAUUCUUUUAGAAUAUGUAUACUUAUAUUAAAAUGUAUAAGGCUUUUAAUCUGUAAGAAUAUGUAUGAAUUUGUAGUUAAGUUCGGAUGUAUAAGAAUAUAUUAGAAUGUUGUUAUUUUUUAACCUCGGAUUCAAUAAUGUUGUUAUUCUUCAAUAA